rnacentral:rRNA from 1 species
AAAACAACAGGGAUUGCCCUAGUAACGGCGAGUGAAGCGGCAACAGCUCAAAUUUGAAAUCUGGCGUCUUUGGCGUCCGAGUUGUAAUUUGCAGAGGGCGCUUUGGCAUUGGCAGCGGUCCAAGUUCCUUGGAACAGGACGUCACAGAGGGUGAGAAUCCCGUACGUGGUCGCUAGCCUUUACCGUGUAAAGCCCCUUCGACGAGUCGAGUUGUUUGGGAAUGCAGCUCUAAAUGGGAGGUAAAUUUCUUCUAAAGCUAAAUACUGGCCAGAGACCGAUAGCGCACAAGUAGAGUGAUCGAAAGAUGAAAAGCACUUUGGAAAGAGAGUUAAACAGUACGUGAAAUUGUUGAAAGGGAAGCGCUUGCAACCAGACUUGCACGCAGUUGAUCAUCCGGUGUUCUCACCGGGGCACUCUGCUGCGUUCAGGCCAGCAUCGGUUUUGGUGGUUGGAUAAAGGCCUUGGGAAUGUAGCUUCCUUCGGGGAGUGUUAUAGCCCUCGGUGCAAUGCAGCCUACCGGGACCGAGGACCGCGCUUCGGCUAGGAUGCUGGCGUAAUGGUUGUAAGCGGCCCGUCUUGAAACACGGACCAAGGAGUCUAACAUCUAUGCGAGUGUUUGGGUGUCAAACCCAUACGCGUAAUGAAAGUGAACGGAGGUGAGAACCCUUAAGGGUGCAUCAUCGACCGGUCCUGAUGUCUUCGGAUGGAUCUGAGUAAGAGCAUAGCUGUUGGGACCCGAAAGAUGGUGAACUAUGCGUGAAUAGGGUGAAGCCAGAGGAAACUCUGGUGGAGGCUCGCAGCGGUUCUGACGUGCAAAUCGAUCGUCAAAUUUGCGCAUAGGGGCGAAAGACUUAUCGAACCAUCUAGUAGCUGGUUCCUGCCGAAGUUUCCCUCAGGAUAGCAGUGUUGAAUUCAGUUUUAUGAGGUAAAGCGAAUGAUUAGAGGCCUUUGGGGUUGAACAACCUUAACCUAUUCUCAAACUUUAAUAUGUAA